rnacentral:rRNA from 1 species
GACGAACGCUGGCGGCGUGCUUAACACAUGCAAGUCGAACGAUGAGGCCGGAGCUUGCUCUGGUGAAUUAGUGGCGAACGGGUGAGCAACACGUGAGUAACCUGCCCUUGACUCUGGGAUAACUGCUAGAAAUGGUAGCUAAUACCGGAUACGACCCUCGGAGGCAUCUCCAGGGGGUGGAAAGAAUUUCGGUCAAGGAUGGACUCGCGGCCUAUCAGCUAGUUGGUGAGGUAACGGCUCACCAAGGCGACGACGGGUAGCCGGCCUGAGAGGGUGACCGGCCACACUGGGACUGAGACACGGCCCAGACUCCUACGGGAGGCAGCAGUGGGGAAUAUUGCACAAUGGGCGCAAGCCUGAUGCAGCAACGCCGCGUGAGGGAUGACGGCCUUCGGGUUGUAAACCUCUUUUAGUAGGGAAGAAGCGAAAGUGACGGUACCUGCAGAAAAAGCACCGGCUAACUACGUGCCAGCCGCCGCAGUAA